rnacentral:rRNA from 1 species
GUAGGGUCCGAGCGUUAUCCGGAAUCAUUGGGCGUAAAGAGCUCGUAGGCGGUUCAGCAAGUCGGCUGUGAAAGUUCGAGGCUCAACCUCGAAAUUGCAGUCGAUACUGCUGUGACUUGAAUUCGGUAGAGGAGAAUGGAAUUCCCGGUGUAGCGGUGAAAUGCGCAGAUAUCGGGAGGAACACCAGUAGCGAAGGCGGUUCUCUGGGCCGAUAUUGACGCUGAGGAGCGAAAGCGUGGGGAGCAAACAGGAUUAGAUACCCUGGUAGUCCACGCCCGUAAACGUUGGAUGCUAGGUGUGGCGGUCUACCAACGACUGCCGUGCCGAAGCUAACGCAUUAAGCAUCCCGCCUGGGGAGUACGGCCGCAAGGCUA